rnacentral:rRNA from 1 species
GACGAACGCUGGCGGCGUGCUUAACACAUGCAAGUCGAACGCAGUGGCGAACGGGUGAGUAACGCGUAAUCAACCUGCCCUUCAGAGGGGGACAACAGUUGGAAACGACUGCUAAUACCGCAUACUGAAGGAGGGGAUUGCGUCUGAUUAGGUAGUUGGAGGGGUAACGGCCCACCAAGGCGAUGAGCAGUAGCAGGUCUGAGAGGAAGAACGGCACCAUGGGGACGGGGACACGGCCCAGACUCCUACGAGAGGCAGAAGUGGGGGAUAUUGCACAAUGGGCGAAAGCCUGAUGCAGCGACGCCGAGUGGGGGAUGAAGGCUUUCGGGUUGUAAACCUCUUUCGCUAUCGAACGGGUAGGUGGAGAAGAAGCGCCGGCUAACUACGUGCCAGCAGCCGCGGUAAUAC